rnacentral:lncRNA from 1 species
GCGUCCAUGGCUGCUAGGGCGACCCUCUGGCUCAGCGGCCCGGGCAGCUGCGUGUCCCAGCACAACCGUUGGCCCCGCUGCCGAUUUGAAUAGCACAGAGGGCUGCGCGGAUUGGUCGCGCCCACAGUCACGUGACGCCGUAGCCAGCCUCGGGCCGAGUCGGCGGGGGCCGAGGAGGUUCGGCAGUGUCUCCCGGCUCCGGCAGCUAGCGCUGGCCGGGUUGGGCUGGCCUGGGGCCGCUGCGGUUGGGACAGGCUGUGUUUCCCCGGCGCUGCUUCUCCCUCAAGCGGUCCGCGGCGAGAAUCUUCGGCAGUAUUAGCUUAGAAGGCAAAGCAGCCUCAUGGAUAUGUGUCGCAGUUUCUCGCUCUCUCAUCUCUCAGCAGGGGCCAUGAUUCUCUCAAGUGCUAAAAUUUUAACAUCAGUAACUGAGAUAAGCCUCAGUAAAGAUCAGGCUGGAGUACAGUGGUAUGAUCUUGGCUCACUACAACCUCCUCCUGCAGGUUCAAGCAAUUCUCCUGCCUCAAACUCCUGAGUAGCUGGGACUACAGAGUCUUGUUCUGUGGUCCUGGCUGGAGUGCUGUGGCAUGAUCUUGGCUCACUGCAACCUCUGCUGCCCAGGUUCAAGCAAUUCUGCUGCCUCAGCCUCCCUAGUAGCUAGGAUUACAGGUACCUGCCACCGUGACUGGCUAAUUUUUGUAGUUUUAGUAGAGACAGGGUUUCACCAUCUUGGCCAGGCUGGUCUUGAAUUCCUGACCUUGUGAUCCACCCGCCUUGGCCUCCCAAAGUGAUGGGAUUACAGGCAUGAGCCGCUGC